rnacentral:rRNA from 1 species
ACAGCAGCCGCCGCGGUAACACGAAGGGGGCUAGCGUUGCUCGGAAUGACUGGGCGUAAAGGGCGCGUAGGCGGAUUGUUUAGUUAGGCGUGAAAUUCCUGGGCUUAACCUGGGGACUGCGCUUAAUACAGGCAGUCUAGAGUGAGGAAGAGGGUUGUGGAAUUCCCAGUGUAGAGGUGAAAUUCGUAGAUAUUGGGAAGAACACCGGUGGCGAAGGCGGCAACCUGGUCCUUGACUGACGCUGAGGCGCGAAAGCGUGGGGAGCAAACAGGAUUAGAUACCCGAGUAGUCCCUGUCUCUUAUAC